rnacentral:rRNA from 1 species
AACGAACGCUGGCGGCAUGCCUAACACAUGCAAGUCGAACGAGACCUUCGGGUCUAGUGGCGCACGGGUGCGUAACGCGUGGGAAUCUACCCUCAGGUUCGGAAUAACUCAGAGAAAUUUGAGCUAAUACCGGAUGAGGACUUAAGUCCAAAGAUUUAUCGCCUGAGGAUGAGCCCGCGUAGGAUUAGGUAGUUGGUGAGGUAAAGGCUCACCAAGCCGACGAUCCUUAGCUGGUCUGAGAGGAUGAUCAGCCACACUGGGACUGAGACACGGCCCAGACUCCUACGGGAGGCAGCAGUGGGGAAUAUUGGACAAUGGGCGAAAGCCUGAUCCAGCAAUGCCGCGUGAGUGAUGAAGGCCUUAGGGUUGUAAAGCUCUUUUACCCGGGAUGAUAAUGACAGUACCGGGAGAAUAAGCCCCGGCUAACUCCGUG